rnacentral:lncRNA from 10 species
CUUUAUACCACUUCCUCUGGAGCAGCUCUGCUUUAGAUUUUUUACAUAUGGGGCCUUUGGGUAAAAUUUUAUUUAAAGAACAAAAUUGCUUACAAAGAAAAGCUUGCAAACUAUUUUAUGAUACCUUGUCUCUACUGCCUUAUAAAAAGAAAGAAAAACAGAAAAAUGAAAGUGCAGAUGGUAACGUGGUGAUGGAUCCAUCUCAUGCACUUA